rnacentral:rRNA from 1 species
AGCGAACGCUGGCGGCAGGCUUAACACAUGCAAGUCGAGCGGGCACCUUCGGGUGUCAGCGGCAGACGGGUGCGUAACACGUGGGAACGUACCCUUCGGUUCGGAAUAACGCUGGGAAACUAGCGCUAAUACCGGAUACGCCCUUAUGGGGAAAGGUUUACUGCCGAAGGAUCGGCCCGCGUCUGAUUAGCUAGUUGGUGGGGUAACGGCCUACCAAGGCGACGAUCAGUAGCCGGUCUGAGAGGAUGAUCAGCCACACUGGGACUGAGACACGGCCCAGACUCCUACGGGAGGCAGCAGUGGGGAAUAUUGGACAAUGGGCGCAAGCCUGAUCCAGCCAUGCCGCGUGAGUGAUGAAGGCCUUAGGGUUGUAAAGCUCUUUUGUCCGGGACGAUAAUGACGGUACCGGAAGAAUAAGCCCCGGCUAACUUCGUG